rnacentral:rRNA from 1 species
CCUACGGGAGGCAGCAGUGGGGAAUAUUGGACAAUGGGGGGAACCCUGAUCCAGCCAUGCCGCGUGUGUGAAGAAGGCCCUCGGGUUGUAAAGCACUUUCAGUGAGGAAGAACGCCUGGUGGUUAAUACCCAUCAGGAAAGACAUCACUCACAGAAGAAGCACCGGCUAACUCCGUGCCAGCAGCCGCGGUAAUACGGAGGGUGCGAGCGUUAAUCGGAAUUACUGGGCGUAAAGCGCGCGUAGGUGGCUUGAUAAGCCGGUUGUGAAAGCCCCGGGCUCAACCUGGGAACGGCAUCCGGAACUGUCAAGCUAGAGUGCAGGAGAGGAAGGUAGAAUUCCCGGUGUAGCGGUGAAAUGCGUAGAGAUCGGGAGGAAUACCAGUUGCGAAGGCGGCCUUCUGGACUGACACUGACACUGAGGUGCGAAAGCGUGGGUAGCAAACAGGAUUAGAUACCCGAGUAGUC